rnacentral:tRNA from 1 species
ACCUGGCUGGCUCAGUCAGUGGAGACUGUGAAUCUUGAUCUCAGGGUUGUGGGUUCGAACCCCAUGUUGGGUA